rnacentral:rRNA from 1 species
GCUUUACUGUAGCCCGGAAWUGUGUUCGGGCNUUGSUUGCGCAGGAUAGGUGGGAAGCKUUGAAGUACUCCUUGUGGGGAGUAUCGAGCUAACGGUGAGAUACCACUCUGGCGAAGCUAGAAUUCUAACCAAUGUCCGUAAUCCGGAAUUGGAACAUUUUCAGGUGGGCAGUUUGACUGGGGCGGUCGCCUCCCAAAAGGUAACGGAGGCGCGCAAUGGUUCUCUCAGCACGGUUGGAAAUCSUGCGUCGAGUGUAAAGGCAMUAAGAGAGCUUGACUGUGACACCAACAAGUGGAACAGGUACGAAAGURGGCCUUAGUGAUCCGACGGCGCAGAGUGGAAUGGCNCGUCGCUCAACGGAUAAAAGUUACUCUGGGAAAAAGGGUUGAA